rnacentral:rRNA from 1 species
CCUACGGGAGGCAGCAGUGAUGAAUAUUGGUCAAUGGACGAGAGUCUGAACCAGCCAAGUAGCGUGAAGGAUGACUGCCCUAUGGGUUGUAAACUUCUUUUAUAUUGGAAUAAAAUGUUCCACGUGUGGGAUUUUGUAUGUCCCAUAUGAAUAAGGAUCGGCUAACUCCGUGCCAGCAGCCGCGGUAAUACGGAGGAUCCGAGCGUUAUCCGGAUUUAUUGGGUUUAAAGGGAGCGUAGGUGGAUGGUUAAGUCGGUUGUGAAAGUUUGCGGCUCAACCGUAAAAUUGCAGUUGAAACUGGCAGUCUUGAGUACAGUAGAGGUGGGCGGAAUUCGUGGUGUAGCGGUGAAAUGCUUAGAUAUCACGAAGAACUCCGAUUGCGAAGGCAGUUCACUGGACUGCAACUGACACUGAGGCUCGAAAGUGUGGGUAUCAAACAGGAUUAGAUACCCGGGUAGUC